rnacentral:lncRNA from 1 species
CAAGCGAGAUUGACGCUUUACCCUGGUGGAUGCAGUACAUACGGUGAUCUCAGUGCUCAUCUGAUCUACACUGAGUGUCCCAGGAGUUUUUCCAGCAUGGCUUGUAGGUCAUUACACAAUUCUGAAUAGCCCUGGUGCGAUUGUCUGUGAUCUUAACCAAAAAUUACUUAGAUACAAGGAACAUGGCAAUCCAGGACGUCAGGGGUGAGUUGCUUCUUUCUAUUUACGCCAAAUCUGUCUUCACUGCGUUGGCUUCGGGACAUGCUUCUUCUUUCGCAGGCCUUGUUUUCUUGCUGAUGAUUUGCUGACGUUUUUUGUGCUCUGCGUCUGUGACGUGGAUCCUAUUCUGCAAUUUAGU